GACGAACGCUGGCGGCGUGCUUAACACAUGCAAGUCGAACGGAAAGGCACUACUUUCGUGCGCUGACCGAGUGGCGAACGGGUGCGUAACACGUGAGUAACCUGCCCUAGACUUUGGGAUAACUUCAGGAAACUGGGCCUACUACCGGAUCGGAGCUCCUGCUGCAUGGUGGGGGUUGGAAAGUUUCGGCGGUUGGGGAUGGACUCGCGGCUUAUCAGCUUGUUGGUGGGGGAGUGGCUUGCCCAGGCAUUGACGGGUCGCCGGCCUGGGAGGGUGGCCGGCGACCAGGGUACUGAGGGACGGAGCAGAGGCCUACAGUGGACAGUAGGGGGAAGUAUGAUACAGUGGUACGAAGUCGGUUGCGGCGGCGUUGCGGGCGGGAAGACGGUCUGUGGGGAGUGAACCGCAGUCGCCUGUUACGAAGCUGGAGUGACGGUAAUGGGUGAAUAAGCACCGGCUAACUACGUG
rnacentral:rRNA from 1 species